GACGAACGCUGGCGGCGUGCUUAACACAUGCAAGUCGAACGGAAAGGCCCUGCUUUUGUGGGGUGCUCGAGUGGCGAACGGGUGAGUAACACGUGAGUAACCUGCCCUUGACUUUGGGAUAACUUCAGGAAACUGGGGCUAAUACCGGAUAGGAGCUCCUGCUGCAUGGUGGGGGUUGGAAAGUUUCGGCGGUUGGGGAUGGACUCGCGGCUUAUCAGCUUGUUGGUGGGGUAGUGGCUUACCAAGGCUUUGACGGGUAGCCGGCCUGAGAGGGUGACCGGCCACAUUGGGACUGAGGUACGGCCCAGACUCCUACGGGAGGCAGCAGUGGGGAAUAUGGCAGAAUGGGCGGAAGCCUGAUGCAGCAACGCCGCGUGCGGGAUGACGGCCUUCGGGUUGUAAACCGCUUUCGCCUGUGACGAAGCGUGAGUGACGGUAAUGGGUAAAGAAGCACCGGCUAACUACGUG
rnacentral:rRNA from 1 species